UGACCUACGGGACGCAGCAGUGAGGAAUAUUGGUCAAUGGGCUUACGCCUGAACCAGCCAAGUCGCGUGAGGGAAGACUGCCCUAUGGGUUGUAAACCUCUUUUGUCAGGGAGCAACGCCGGCUACGUGUAGCCGGGCUGAGAGUACCUGAAGAAAAAGCAUCGGCUAACUCCGUGCCAGCAGCCGCGGUAAUACGGAGGAUGCGAGCGUUAUCCGGAUUUACUGGGUGUAAAGGGAGCGUAGACGGCAGCGCAAGUCUGGAGUGAAAUGCCGGGGCCCAACCCCGGCACUGCUCUGGAACCUGU
rnacentral:rRNA from 1 species